AAAACUGUCAGAUAAAUAUCUAUAAAUAUGAAUUGUUCAAUAAUUAUUCUAGCUAAUUUCAAAAUAUUCAAUAUUUGGAUUAAAUAUUGAAUCCUCUAUGAGACAGGUGGGACAUUACUGUGUAUUAUAAGCAGCGUUAUUAUUUCUGUGUAUGAUCCCUAACCACUAACGUUAUUUUUGAGUCUGGUCAGAGUUGCGGUUGAUGCAAAAUAGCUGUUCCAUGAUUCUAUAGACAGACCUCUGGAUUCAUGCCAAUCGUGUCACUUUGCUUCAAGUGGUUCAAAUUAUACGAGGUUUUUGGUUUUUUCUUGUGACAGGCAAUACCGAUUUAAGGUUCCGUUGCUCAACUUAAAAUUACCAGCAUAUUAACGCUAAGAAAAUUAUGAACUUAAACGAAUGCAAGUGUACAGGGCCGUUUGCAUUUCCCUUCCGAUUUUUCUAAUAUUGCUUAAAGCUAACGGCUAGAAAAUUUAAAAUUUAACUAUAGAGAACAGCGGUUGGAUUUCUCAUUCCAUGACUUUUCCAGCCGUUGUAUACUCUUAUAAAAUAUAUAUUCCUCCAAAAUUGAAAAGUCCCCCCAUGUAGAAAGAGAAAUACAGCGACUCGAAAGAAGAAUCAAUAGCCAGAGAGAGAGAGAGAGCGCUACGAAAAUGUCAGAGCAUGAAAUAUUAUAGACAAUGAGAGAUGAGCUGAGAGAGUCAGAGACGGAAAGAAUUGAGAUGAUGAUACACAGCGGGAACAACGGUUAUGGAAACGGGGUGAUGACGUCGGCAUCGGUAGCGACGACGCCAAGCCCAUGACGUUGUCUUCAUCCUCGACAAAUGCGCAAUCUCGGGGGAUGAAGACGUACUUUAAGAACCCAGUGGGACGGCAAGGUUCUCUCUCUCUCUCUCUCUCUCAAAGUCACCUACUCGUCUAACAAUUUUUGCCUUGCAAGAAACCGGCUCGUGCACAAGCAGAAAGAUAAAAGAAGGAAAAAAAGAGAGACACCGUAGCUGUCAAUGGGCAGUGCGAAGAAAAAUCCUUGCUGCAACGACAUUGGAGGUACCUCCAAAGAGUGUACUGGAGAGACCCAAUCCCAAGGAGGUAAGGUGAUUAACACUUCAUUCCUGUUCAUCAGAGUUAUUCUGUGAUUGGUUAGGGUUUGGUGAAAUACUGUUCUGGGAAAUAGAAUGAAAAAUGUGGGUUCGUUUAUUUUAUUCUUUGCCACUUUUGUUACGUUCUGUUUGAUUGGUGAGAAGCGUAGUUAAAUAAAACGUCAGAAAGUUUAUGGAAUUCAAAUUUUUCCACUUUUGGUGUCAAAGAAAACAGAAUGCUGGCAUGACAAUGCCUAAUGACUGGGAGCUAUAAUUAUAUAAUAGUAGAUUGUAGUACUACACGUCUAAUGGUCAAUGUUUCAAAGAAAGAGCACGCUUGGAAAGUAUGACAUGUAGGAGCUCAUAGGAACAUUUUAUAUGUGGCUUUUAAUUUAUAUAUAAAAAGUGGCUUCAUUCAUAUUGAUCACUGUCAAUGAGAAUGGUAAGUUAUGAGCUUGUGGUUUUUAUGUUACUAACUAAUGAUUGUGAAUUAUUGAUCCUCUGUUCAUGCAAGAAUCUGAACCCAUAGUUUGGGAGUACUAUAGAAAAGAAAUUGGGUCUCGCUUGGUCGAUAUGUACAAAGAGGCUUGUGACAGUAUGUUUUCUAACUCACCGGUGAAUGCACCCACCAUGUAUCUCAGUUUUAUGGGGCUACUUUCUGUUAUUAGAGUUGCAUGAUCCUUAAAGAGUUCCUGUACAAUGAAGGUGUACCACAUAUUGAUUUCUGCUUGUAGUAUAACUAUUUGCAUGUCUCUGCGAGAAAAAAAAAAAAAAAAAAAAAAAAACCCCUUGUAAUUGGAGCUCAAAUUGGCUGUAAAAACAGCUUAUGCUUGUUAAUAGAUAGGAUAUGUUAGGGAAUAUGUACGAGGCCGCUUUUUUUCAUUCACCAAGCAAGUUCGUUAUUAUGCUGAUUAUUGCUUCCAGACUAGUAGAGAAACCUUCUUGAACUCAAUUAAAAUCUAGAUUAGUGAGAUUGAUUACUAGUGUUGGUUCCCGCACUUAUUGUGAUGAGUAAACGAUUAGCUACAUCAAACUCCGAAGGGACACUUAUAGGUUUACCAUGAGGCAAGUUCUUGAGAGAUUUUCUUUUUGAUCAAUAAAUAAGAAUAUUAUUGAUGAGAGAUAUAGGCAUAACCUAAAUACACAGGACUUUCUUGAGAGAUUUUAUGAAGCUGGAGUAUGUUUAGCUGUGAACAUAUAGGCAGCAGGAAUUGAUUUGUAAUCGAAUCUAUUGGUCUCAAAUACCAGAUACUAAAUGAUUUGUCCCGCUAGGUACUGUCUUACUUCAUGUCUAUUUGAAAUUGCCUUUUAGUGAAAAUAGUUCACUUUUCUUGAGUUUUUAUUAAUCCAUGUUCCGAUUUCCAAUUGUUUCAAAUUUACUUAAUGACGAAUAGUGUUCCAAGUUUGUAGGCAUAGAGUUCCCCAGGUACGUAGCCACAGUAACUCCUCAAAACGAGCCUAAAUCUGAUGCACUGGUGAGAACUUACGCAAGAUCUAAUUGCUUGACACCCUCUCCCUCUCUCUAUGGUUUUGAAUGCUUCAAACUUUAAGAAGUAUUGUCAAUAAGAUUUUAAGUUUUGAAUGUUGUAGACAUCAAGAAAUAUUUUCUUUGAGAUUUUAGAUCCUGCAGACUUUAAUAAUGAGUUGGGUGAAAUUUAAGGAUCUAGAUUUUCCAGGCCUUAAGCUAAGAUUAUUUUCAUGUUUAAGGUUAUAUACUUUGCAGAUUUUUGUGCAAUGGAUUAUUAUCGAAUUUGAGAUUCUAGCUUCAACGGAUUUUAAGAACUGGUUAUUUUCAUAUUUAAGGUUAUUAAUUGUAGUUGAGAAUGAAAUAGAGAAUUUGAGAGUAUAAGUCAUGGUGAAUGAAUUGGGAGACAAGAAGUCGGGUUGCUAUAAAAGUGUGGUAAGAGUCAUCCUGAUAGGUAUUGAAAUGUAUUAGACUCCUAGUUUUAGAUAUUUUGGCAAAGUCGUCAGAGUGUGCAACGGAAGCGUGAUUUUGGUUAUAUAAGGGUUUGCGAGUAAACUUUGUGAAGGUUUGGGAAUUGGUGACUUGAGAGUUGAGAUCACUUAGGACUUAACUUUAAAGAAUUUUAUUGUAUUGGAGGUUAAGACUUUAUGCUGAGAGUUAUUUUUACAAUUAUCUUUGAGGCUUAAAAAAAAAUAAGGGGAAAUAUUAUUAGGCUUGUAAAAGUUUAUAUUAUUAUGCCUGAACUGGAUUUCGAGGUAUCUGAAGAUCAACACUAGGCGCAUGAAUGUGUAUGCUAAGAGGAUUAGUAGGUAUUUAAGUUAUGGGGGCGAGAGAUAUUGGAAAGUUAGGAUGUUUAAAUAUUAAGUUUGACAUAAUAGUUGGAAGUUUAAAAUAGGCAUGGAUUAUGAGGGAUAAGUAUUUUAGGCUUUACUUUAGAUGUAACAAAUUUCGAGCCCGAAAUGUUUAAAAGGGGGGAGGAUGUAACACCUGGGUCUAGCACCAAGGUAGCAUUCUAACUUUUUUGCGUUUAUACGUAUGAAAAGCCUACUUGAGAUUAAUGAUAGGCUAUAGGUUUAAAAUUUUAUUUUGUGGGAUGUGUAUUUUGAUUGGGCUUGAUAAUUAGGUUAAAUAUUUUUGGGUUGAAAAAUUUAUGGGACAAGCUAGAUUAUUUUUAUAGUCAAUUUCAGAAUCCACACCCAUGCACAUCUCCAUGUCAUGCACAUUUCUUCCUUGUCUAUUUCUCCUCUAGGGUUUCAAUUUCUAUAUUUAUACACACGCUCGAUAAACAAAGUUACAAAACCCAUUUAUCCCAUGUAUUCACUGCAUGCACGACUCCAUCACUUCUAAUCCCACCCACUGCAUGCACGCCUCUUCCUUCCUUGUCUAGGGUUUUAUCAGUUUUUCCUAUAUAUUUAUAUAUAUAUAUUCAUUACACAGUAUUGUACACAUACCUCGUAAGCCAUCCUCAACAUAAAAACUAAGGCUACCGCUCCGUGUUCCUCCUGCUUUCAGCGCAUUGUCGCUUCAACACAGACAACGUAAACGAACCCAGCCAAAGCCAAGCCCUUCACGUAUGUCUAGCUCCUGGCUCCUCCGCACGCAACCACCUCUCUUGGUGGGCUUGAGAUUUUUUUCACUUUGCUGCUAGGCACUACCACGAACGAGAUCUCCCUACCAUUGGUGUAAAACUGUGUCCUCUGUUUGGAUUGGUACCAACUUUUCUGUUUCCGGUGCAUCCUUCCAAAGUGGCUUUCUGUGUGGUAUUUCCUAUGUGCACACUCAGGGCUUCGAAAAUGAAUAAGGGGAAGAUUUCACAUUCUGUUUCUGCUUGGUUGGCCGCUGGGGUUUGUAUAACUCUACCACGGGGGUUAACAUGGAAUUCUUUUUCAGAUGUGAUAUUUCAAUUAUGCUAUGCCAAAGGAAUUUUAAAUAAGAAUAUUAUAGUUUCUUUCACUCUGAUAUUGUUGAUAACAUGUUCUGAUUUUGCGUUCUAAAAAUUAUAAAUAUUCUAUUCUGCAUUCUGAACUCUGUACAUGCUCAUGUUUACAUAUUAGUAUAGUUUCUUUGCCUAUUGACUUGUUGAUAACUCACCCGUGUAUCUCCAUAAUGUUUUUCAGACAGUUUGUAUGCCUCAACUGGGAGUGAUGAAUAAGAAGUGUUAACAAGAUUUGAUGAUCGUAGAUGAAUAAGUACCAAAGGGUACAAAGUAUUUAUUAGAGAGUUAUAUUAGUAGAUUUAUUAUUUUACCUUAUUUUGGUGUUUUUAGUUAUGGAUAUGUCCGAGUUUGUGGAGAUUUUAGUUUAUUUUAUUGAAGUAUUUCUAUGGUGGUCUGCUGGAAGAAUAUUUAUAUUUGGUUGGAAUAAAUGAAUUGAUAAUUUAUUUGAAAUUUGGAGUAUAUAAUUAUGUUAUGGGAGAUGACUUUAGGUUACAACAGCUAACUCUCCGGACCUCCGAGACCAAGGCGUUACAGUUCGUAUCAGAGCCAGGUUUGAGAUUCUGCAGACUUUAUGGAUUGAGGUUUUCGGACUUUGAGAUUUUAGAUUCGAUUGAUUUAUGCUAUAGGCUGUAGGACAUGACUUGGAUAUGAUUUAAUGUUUAGAUUUUGAAGUUGGCAUAUGUUUGACCGAAAGCCAGGUUUGAGGUUCUGCAGACUAUAACAUAUGAGGUUUUAGAUAUCUGUGAGUUUAGGAAGUAACUUCAGAUUUUAGGUGAAGAAAUUUGAAGACUGAGAGAUGAUUAUAUGGAUAUUUAAGGUUUGAGAUUCUGCAGACUUUAUUAGUUGAGUUUUGGAAAUCUGUGGUUUAGGGAUUGAGCAUACUUUAAAUAUGAUUUUGAUGGAAUCUGAGGUCUAAAUUUUUGUAGAUUUUAAGAAAUGACUUUUGAAGUUGACAUAAGUUUGGCUGAAAGCCAGGUUUGAGGUUAUGCAGACUAUAACAAAUGAAGUUUUGGAUAUCUGUGGAUUUAGGAAGUAAGUUCAAAUUUGAGGUGUAGAAAUUUGAAGAUGAUUGUAUGGAUAUUUAAGGUUUGAGAGCCUCCAGACCUUAUUGGUUGAGUUUUGGAAAUAUGAGGUUUAGGGAUUUUGCAUACUUUAAAGAUGAUUUUGAUGUGAUCUGAGGUCUUAAAUAUUUGUAGAUUGAGAUUUAUGGUUUUGAAUGCUGCAAAUUUUAAGAAGUAUUGUCGAUAAGAUUUUAAGGUUUGAAUGUUGUAGACAUCAAGAAAUAUUUUCUUCGAGAUUUUAAAUCAUGCAGAAUUUAAUAAUGAGUUGGGUAAAAUAUUUAAGGCUCUAGAUUUUCCAGGCCUUAAACCUAAGAUUAUUUUCAUAUUUAAGGUUAUAGACUUUGCAGAUUUUUGGGCAAUAGAUUAUUAUCGAAUUUGAGAUUCUAGCUUCAAUGGAUCUUAAGAAAUGAUUAUUUUCAUAUUUAAGGUUAUUAAUUGCAGUCGAGAAUGAAAUAGAGAAUGUGAGAGUAUAAGUCAGGGUGAAUGAAUUUGGGAGACAAGAAGUCGGGUUGCUAUCAAAGUGUGGUAAGAGUCAUCCUCGUAGAUAUUGAAGUGUAUUAGACUCCUAGUUUUAAAUAUUUUGGCAAAGUUGUCAAAGUGCACAACGGAAGCAUGAUUUUGGUUAUAUAAGAGUUUGCGAGUAAACUUUGUGAAGGUUCGGAAAUUGAUGACUUGAGAGUUGAGAUCACUUAGGACUUAACUUUUAAGAAUUUUAUUGUAUUGGAGGUUAAGACUAUCUUUAAGUAAUGUGGGCGAGAGAUAUUGGAAAGUUAGGAUUUUUAAAUUUUAAGUUUGACAUAAUAGUUGAGGUUUAAAAUACAUGGAUGAAAUCAUAAGGGAUAAGUAUUUUAGGCUUUACUUUAGAUGCAAUAGAUUUCGAGGACGAAAGUUUUUAAGGGGGGAAGAUGUAACACCCAGGCCUAGCACCAAGGCCGCAUUCUAACAUUUUUGGGUUUAUACGUAUGAAAAGCCUACUUGACAUUAAUGAUAGGCUAUAUAGGUUUAAAAUUUUAUUUUUUGGGAUGUGUAUUUUGAUUGGGCUUGAUAAUUAGGUGAAAUAUUUUUGGGUGGAAAAAUUUAUGGAACAAGUUAGAUUAUUUUUAGAGUCAAUUUUAGAAUCCACACCCAUGCAGAUCUCCAUGUCAUGCAUAGUUCUUCCUUGCCUAUUUCUCCUCUAGGGUUUCGGUUUCUAUUUUAUACACACACUCGAUACACAAAGUUACAAAACCCAAUGAUCCCAUGGAUUCACUGCAUGCACAGUCCAUCACUUUUGAUCCCACUGCAUGCACGCCUCUUCCUUCCUUGUCUUGGGUUUUAUCAGUUAUUCCUAUAUAUAUAUUCAUUACACUGUCGGGCACACAUACCCCGUAAGCCAUUCUCAACAUAAAAAGGGCUUCCGCUUCGUGUUCCUUCUGCGUUCAACGCACUGCCGUUGCUGCCGCUUCAACACAGCCACUGCAAAUGACCCUCACCAAAGCCAAGCCCUUCACGUAUGUCUAGCUCCUAGCUCCUCCGCACGCAACCACCUAUCUUGGUGAGCUUGAGAUUUUUUCCCCUUGGCGCUAGGCAUUGCCACAAACGAGACCUCCCUACCAUGAGUGUAAAACUGUGGCAUCUGUUUGGGUUAGUACUAACUUUUCUAUUUCCGGUGCACCCCCUUUAGAAGUCAAAGUGGUUUUCUGCGUGAUCUUUCCUAUGUGCACACUCGGGACUCCGAGAAUGAAUAAGGGGAAGAGUUCAUAUUCUUUUUCUGCUCAAUUGGCCACCAGAGUUUGCGCAAUCCUACCAUGGUGGUUAAACAUGGAAUUCUAUUUCUGAUGUGAUAUUUCAGUUAUGCCAUGCCAAAUAGAUUUUAAAUAAGAAUAUUUUUGAACUUUUGCUCUGAUAUUGUUGAUAACAUGUUUUGAUUUUGCAUUUUGAACUCUAUACAUGCUUAUGUUUUCAUACUAUUAUAGUUCUUUGCUUACUGACUCAUUAAUAACUCACCCCUUAUCUCCAUAACGUUUUUCAGAAAAUUUGUAUGCCUCAACUGGGAGUGAUGAAUAGGAAGUGUUAACAAGAUUUGAUGAUCGUAGAUGAAUAAGUAUCAAAGGGUACAAAGUAUUUAUUAGAGAGUUCUAUUAGUAGAUGAAUAAGUAUCAACGGCAACUCUGCUUUUUGAGUAAUCUUGACUCCAUUUUGGACGAGUUAGGAAAGUUAAUUAUAUGGAACAAAAAAAUCUAUAAUUAGUUGAGGUUAUUUUGCCAAUUUGUUUUAUUAAUUGCUUUUGGAAUUUAGAGGUGAUGUUCUGAAAAAAUACCCAUUAGCACACUGUCAAUUAUUUUUUUAAUAAAUAUAUUUGCUCUAAAUUUAGUCUAGGUUGAUUUAUAACAUGUCCCAAUGUGGUACUUUUGCAUCUUUCUAUCAGUUUACACAGCAGAAGCUCCCAGGUUGUAAACCAGUACAAACACCAGCUUGGGUAACUUCUCAAAUACUACUAUUUACUUCUGACUUUCAUAAUCUAUUAUUUGUCCUAAUUUGUGUACUUGUGGUGCUGAGAAUCUCUCAUGCAGGUCAUUUAUAUAUUUCUAUUGACCUUGUUACUCUUCAUUCCUAUCGACCUUGUUACGUACUCUUCAUGCUUCCCAAAGUGCAUGCGUUCUUUGUAGUUACUUUUAAACUUAUCAUGUUGCUGCCUGCAUGCUUCUUUGUACCUUCACAAGUGCAAUGAUUAUUUAUUUGAAGUUUUGGACAUAUAUGAUGUUCAAUGCAUACCAGAAGCAUUUAGACAGCUCAAUCCCAAAAACUGUUCUCGCUUCUUAAAGGUGUUUUAUUUUAUUUUUAAAAUUUUCUAUUUGCCACAUCUCAUGAAAAUUAGUAAUUAGUUAAUCUAUGAGUUUCAUAAAGCUUUUGAGGAUUUCAUCAUCCGAACUUUGUCAAUACUGCUUCUUUAAUAUUUGCAAACAUUUCUCCUCAAUAUUCAGCCAUCAUAGAGUUAGCAGACUUCAAAGUACGGACAUAGAUAUCUUGAAAAUCCCAACCAUUUUGCAAAUGAAAACAUUGAUGCUAUAAUUGAGUUGUCUAGAUUGUUCACUUGGGAUAGUUUGUUCGCUAAAGAAGGAAAAGAAAAAGACAAAAAAAAAGACUUUGGUACCACUGAAAUUGGUGGUGUAAUGUGCUUCCAGUGGUCCAAGAAAUUAAAUUACAUUGUCUAAUUGGAGUGAGUGGAAGAUCUGGGAGAUGGACUUCUAUAAUUCAGCAAAUCUGGGAAGAUAGAUUUCUUGAAGAGGAAAUUUCUGACUCGCUAUUAGUCUAGAUUCAGUACCUCUUGAAGUCAAUUCGAUUUUAUUGCUAUUUUUCUUCUCUCUCUCUCUCUUUGGUUCUUUUUAGACAUGGCCUCAUGUUUCCACUCAUACUAAUUUUUAUUGCAUAUUGCACUGAAAAAGUAGUUAUUGAAGAAAUAGGUGUCGAUAUGGCCGAGAGCUUCGUGGCAGAAAAGAGACGUGAACUAAUAGAGGUUGUUUCUGAGGUUGAUGAUCAACUUGCUGAGGCAUUUCUAAAUGAUGGGCCCGUAUCGCCUACUGAACUUGAGUAAAAACAUAAUUGAAGAUGAACUGAUAACUGCGACAUAAUACAUGGAAAUCUCUACCUGCAGUGUACUGAAAGGAAGCAAAUGUGCGUUGUACGUUGAGCCAUUGGAAUCAAUAAUUGCAUCCAGUCUAUGAAAGCUGUAGUUAGGAGGAAGCUCUAUUUAGUGGAAUUUAUUCCAUACUUAUUCCAACCAAGUAUGAAGAGACUGGGGCAACAUAGGACUUACUAUGAUUUGGGUUCGUAUUAUAUCUUCUUGUUUCUUCAUUUCCUUUACUGGGCAACAUAGGACUUACUAUGAUUUGGGUUCGUAUUAUAUCUUCUUGUUUCUUCAUUUCCUUUACUGUUUUUUCUUUGAUUGUUUAUUAUUAUUAUGCGUUGAAAAUGGUUGGUCAGGAACAAACCCGUGAAGGUUUUUUGUUGGAGCAAUAGAGGCAUGGAUUUAUUUGUUCUACUAUGCUGGAAUAAUUUCCAAUAUUGGUACCAAACAGCGCGUUCCUUUUCUUAGUCAAACCUUCUGGUAACUUAAAUCAGUAAUACACACCAGUCAAAAUAUGAUGGUACAUAAAAUAGAAAAACAAAGAUAAAUUCAACACCACAAAUCCACAACCAUGAACAAUAUUCAAAAUAACAAAAAUCACUACCAUGGAUCCAUGGCAUCUCCACCACCAACAAUACUCAAAAUCAAUGCAUACCAUUAUAGCCACACCACCACCACAAUAAAAAAUAUUCAUAGCUUCAAAAUCAACAACACCACCAUAAAUAAUAUUUAAAACUACAAAUAUCCAUAAAAACUCCACUAACCACAUACAACAAAUCCAACACCACUUGCUCAGCAUAAGCUACAAAUCUAUUAAAAAUUAUUCUCUCGUUAUGUUUCUAAUGUGACAAUGUCUUAAUUGACAUCAACUUCGCAUAAUGUUGCUACCUCCACUUGGAUGAUACAAAUGAGGAUUAGCAUUAUCUAGUAGAGUUAGUUUUUUAAUAUUCCUACAAUUUCAGUAUUCAUUGAAUUAGAGGUUGCAAUAUAAUUCUUAUGGAGCAGGCUAUGGAUUAAGUGGGUUCCCACCAUUGAAAAAAACAACUUAUAGUGAUUAUUGCCAAAAGUAUGAAACUUUCUCGUUGAAGAUCUUUCGGUGCAAUUAAGGUAUGUUAUUUUUUAUUACGCCAUGAUUUAAUAAUAUUCUUAUAUUGUGUCAUAUAGACUAUGUUAGUUGUCUUCCUAUUCUUUCCUUUUUCACUCAACUAUUAUGAUGACUCUCACUUAAGCCUAGGUAUUUAUUUUGGAGUAAGCAGUUUGCAUUAUCACUCAUGCAGAAUAUAAUACUAUGAUUGAGGUGAGUUCAUCUAUAACCUUAUAUAUAAUAUGAUACAUAUAUUUAAAUAGAAACAGUUGAGUCAUUUAAUACUUUUGAUUCACGUGCUAUCCUCCCCCUUUUUUUAAUAGAACAUAUUUAUCAUUGAUUAUUUUUCCAAUUUCUAUUUCUCCCAUUCUCACCCCUGCUCACUUCUUAACCUUCUACUUGUCUCUUCAUCCUUUACACUCGUUCUUCUUCUUCCUCUUCUUCCAUUUUUCUUUCAACUUCUACUUCUCCUCUAUUUGUGUUGAAAGGGAGAAACAAUCCUGAUGAAGGUCUUUUGUUGAUGCAAUAGAGGUAAGAAUUUAUUUAUUCGACUAUGCUUUAAUAAUAUUCUAUUAUUGGUAUAAAAAACGUGUUUUUUUUGGUCAAAUCUUUUGAUAACUCAAAUUAGCGAUGCACACUAGUCAAAAUAUGAUAUCAAAAUAGAAAACAAAAUAAAGAUACCAACACCACAAAUUCAAACCAUGAAUAAUAUUCAUAACAAAAAAAUCCACUACCAUGAAUCCAUAGCAUCCCCACCACCCAAACAAUACUCAAAAUCAAACUAUACCACUAUUGCCACACCACCACCACAACAAAUAAUAUUAAUAGCUUCAAAAUCAAUACCAAAACUACAAAUAAUAUUUAAAUAACUUCACUAAAGAAGUACAAUGAAUUCAACACCACGUACUCAACAUAACCUACAAAUGUAUUGAAAACUUAUUCUCUCGUUAUUUUUUUUAAUGUGACAAUGUUUUAUUUGACGUUGAAUUCACAUAAUGUUGACUACACUUGGAUGACACAAAUGAAGAGUAGCAUAGUCUAGUAGAGUUAAUGUUUUAUAAUAUUCAUACAAUUUGAGUAUUCAAUGAAUUAGAGGUUGUAAUGUAAUUAUUAUGGAACAUGUUAUGUAUUUAGUGGGUUCUCCACCGUCAAGAAAAAUACUUUGCGUGCAUAUUGCAUGAUCUUUCAGUGCAA